GUCUUAUCCAGUUCUGCUUUCUCAAUCUUAUUCAGGAUGAACUUGAUGAAGUUGUGAACACAUGGAACUCACACAAAAUCCGGCCAAGUGGUAGUGCAGCAUCGGGUCGACCAGUAGUAAUGUACUCAUUUCCAGAGCUGCACAGUGCUGAGGACAGACUGAAACCUAUUUCUAUGGAGGAUAUCACUUUGUGUAUGGAAGAGUGUAGCCCAAAA